AAGUCCUUAAGAAGAAGAAAAAACUGUUACUGUCAGAAAACUCAAUAUUUCAGCACAGUUGAGGCAGAGGUGAACUCACCGUGAUUCUAUAGUCUGUCACUCGGCCUCCGCAGCCCUCGCUGAUGGAGGGUGGGUCCUCCAGGGUGGAGCGGUUGCUGUUGAGCACGUGAAGGAAGAUCUCGCCGCCAUGGCUGCUGAGCAUGUGGCUGAUGAUCUUUGACCCUGACUUCCUGGGCUGCUCCAGCAGCACUGAUCGACCUGCAGUCGAAGUACCCACCACUUUUGAAGAACUCCAGGUGAGCGUCUUUGUGAUGAAGGAGCUCAACGUCAUAAUUGGCUGAUGUGUUGGCGUGCUGCUCUUCCUGCCCAGCCGCACAGACAACAAAUACAGGAUCUAACCAGUUUGUCCUUUGGAAAAAUAUCGUAGAGGAUCCGGCAGUACUCCAUGGAGCACUCCACAGCACAGGUCCACAGGGACUUGGACACCGGGGCCAAAGGAAUCACCCCCUGAGCUCGACUCUUCGUCAGCACGUCACACUCCACCUGCUGGCGACUGGACUCGGCCAUGUAGGGACAGUGGUCCACCACGAAGACCGUCUUGUGGGACAUGGCGAACAUCUUCAUUUUGCACGGCUGCAGAAUGAGCUGAUCUGUAAGGAUCAUUACGACGUCAUUGUAGUAGCAAUGUUAAGCUUUGGGUGAACGUGUAGUAGGUAUAUAGUUGUCAGUGUUGUACUGGUGAUAUUUCUAUUUUAAUGUAAACUUUGAAUAAUAUAAAUUACAUAUACCUAAAAUAACCAAGAGCUAGGACAUGGUUAGUGUUAUUUAGAGUUUGUUGUAAACUGGUUGCCUUUGUCACUCUGGACUCGUGUAAAUCAACCUUUUCUUCUAAUCUUCUCUGGUGGUCAAUGCAAAUGUUCACUCACCUGGAGA